rnacentral:rRNA from 1 species
GACGAACGCUGGCGGCGUGCUUAACACAUGCAAGUCGAACGGUAAGGCCCUUCGGGGUACACGAGUGGCGAACGGGUGAGUAACACGUGGGUGAUCUGCCCUGCACUUCGGGAUAAGCCUGGGAAACUGGGUCUAAUACCGGAUAGGACCACUGCCUGCAUGGGUGGUGGUGGAAAGCUUUUGCGGUGUGGGAUGGGCCCGCGGCCUAUCAGCUUGUUGGUGGGGGGGUGGCCUACCAAGGCGACGACGGGUAGCCGGCCUGAGAGGGUGACCGGCAACACUGGGACUGAGCUACGGCGCAGACUCGUACGGGAGGCAGCAGUGGGGAAUAUUGCACAAUGGGCGCAAGCCUGAUGCAGCGACGCCGCGUGAGGGAUGACGGCCUUCGGGUUGUAAACCUCUUUCAGCACCGACGAAGCGCAAGUGACGGUAGGUGCAGAAGAAGGACCGGCCAACUACGUGCCAGCCGCCGCCGUAA